AUUGAACGCUGGCGGCAGGCCGAACACAUGCAAGUCGAACGGUAGCACAGAGAGCUUGCUCUCGGGUGACGAGUGGCGGACGGGUGAGUAACGUCUGGGAAACUGCCCGAUGGAGGGGGAUAACUACUGGAAACGGUAGCUAAUACCGCAUAACGUCGCAAGACCAACGUGGGGGACCUUCGGGCCUCACACCAUCGGAUGUGCCCAGAUGGGAUUAGCUCGUAGGUGGGGUAAUGACUCACCUAGGCGACGAUCCCUAGCUGGUCUGAGAGGAUGACCAGCCACACUGGAACUGAGACACGGCCCAGACUCCUACGGGAGGCAGAAGUGGGGAAUAUUGCACAAUGGGCGCAAGCCUGAUGCAGCCAUGCCGCGUGUAUGAAGAAGGCCUUCGGGUUGUAAAGUACUUUCAGCGGGGAGGAAGGCGGUGAAGUUAAUAACUUCACCGAUUGACGUUACCCGCAGAAGAAGCACCGGCUAACUCCGUGCCAGCAGCCGCCGUAA
rnacentral:rRNA from 1 species